rnacentral:rRNA from 1 species
GUGGGGAAUAUUGGGCAAUGGGCGAAAGCCUGACCCAGCAACGCCGCGUGAAGGAAGAAGGAUCUAUGGUUCGUAAACUUCUUUUGCAGGGGAAUAAAGUGCAGGACGUGUCCUGUUUUGUAUGUACCCUGAGAAUAAGGAUCGGCUAACUCCGUGCCAGCAGCCGCGGUAAUACGGAGGAUCCGAGCGUUAUCCGGAUUUAUUGGGUUUAAAGGGUGCGUAGGUGGUUUGAUAAGUCAGCGGUGAAAGUUUGCAGCUUAACUGUAAAAAUGCCGUUGAAACUGUCGGACUUGAGUGUAAAUGAGGUAGGCGGAAUGCGUGGUGUAGCGGUGAAAUGCAUAGAUAUCACGCAGAACUCCGAUUGCGAAGGCAGCUUACUAAGCUACAACUGACACUGAAGCACGAAAGCGUGGGGAUCAAACAGGAUUAGAUACCCUGGUAGUCC